CUGGGCAGGACGACGUUGUUCAUGGUCGCGCCGACAGGAGCGCAUUGGAAGGCAAGAGUCUUCAUGGCUGGUGAUGCAACUAAAGCCAGGACUUGUGCGAUGGGUAGGAAGAUGGAGGAAAAAUAUGAAGUGGCACAUCAACGGACAGAGAGGGAUGUUCUUGACAGAGAAAUGGUGCUUUUCAUAACUGAACUAAGAAGAAUUUGGUUUCCAGUUUGUGAAUCAUGUCCCUCUUCGCUUCUAGGAUCUGGUUCAUAGGAAAUAGUGCCUGAUUCAAUGGAUAGCGAAGUCGUGCCUGAUUCCAUAGUGAGUGAAGUGCCUGAUUCCAUGAAGAUCGAAGUAGUUCCUGACUCCAUGGAAAGCGAAAUAGUGACUGAUUCAAUGGAAGUCAAUGCUGAUGUCAACAUAUUUACCUCCAAAGAAGAAGAAGAGGCAAUGACUCGUAUCACAGAUGAACUACAGAUGAUUUGGUUACCUGUGUGUGAUCUUGUUUUGAAAAAGAGGGAUGGCACGUCCACCCACGGGUCGCAAUCAGACUCGGCAGCCUUUGGAAGGCGGGUCUCCCGACCCGGCCCAAGUACCGGAAGGAGAUGGGCUCUCAAAUAGGGACCAAUCAGGAUGCGAGAUAGACCGGUCAUGGAUGUACAAGCAAUGAGGGCCAGAGUUCAUUGUUGGCAUCGAGGCUUUUUUGAGGGCUGCCGCGGCGUACAAGAAGCAAAAAGGGAAGCGUGACGAGCACUAUAUAUGCUGUCCGUGUGUCGACUGCAAGAAUGAGAAGCGGUUUUCAAACAUAGAGCAGAUCCGUGCACACUUGAUUCGCAGGGGUUUCAAGGCUGGCUACACCCAUUGGACUGAGCACGGUGAACUUGCAGAUGUUGGGCAUGAAGGGCAACCAACAGUCGAAGGAGACGGAGGCAACGAUCCGACGGCUAACGAAUACUUCGAUAUGUCGGCAUUUGAAGAUACUUUUGUCGAGAACGAUGAUCGGGACACUUUUGUUGGUAAUAAUGAAGAAGGCAUAGAACAAAUGUUGCGCAAUGGGGAGGGGGACUUCACCAUUGAAAGACAACAUCAAAAGUACCAGUAUAUGA